rnacentral:tRNA from 1 species
GUCCUCGUGGAGUAGCCCGGAGUACUCGCACCCUGUCACGGUGGAGAUCGGGGGUUCAAAUCCCCUCGGGGACG